rnacentral:rRNA from 1 species
AUUGAACGCUGGCGGCAUGCCUUACACAUGCAAGUCGAACGGUAACAGGGUGCUUGCACCGCUGACGAGUGGCGAACGGGUGAGUAAUGCGUCGGAACGUGCCGAGUAGUGGGGGAUAACGCAGCGAAAGUUGUGCUAAUACCGCAUACGUACUGAGGUAGAAAGUGGGGGACCUUCGGGCCUCACGCUAUUCGAGCGGCCGACGUCUGAUUAGCUAGUAGGGGAGGUAAAGGCUCACCUAGGCGACGAUCAGUAGCGGGUCUGAGAGGAUGGUCCGCCACACUGGGACUGAGACACGGCCCAGACUCCUACGGGAGGCAGCAGUGGGGAAUUUUGGACAAUGGGCGAAAGCCUGAUCCAGCCAUGCCGCGUGUCUGAAGAAGGCCUUCGGGUUGUAAAGGACUUUUGUCGGGGAGGAAAUCCCCAGCGUUAAUACCGCUGGGGGAUGACAGUACCUGAAGAAUAAGCACCGGCUAACUACGUGCCAGCAGCCGCCGUAAGAC